rnacentral:rRNA from 1 species
CGGCGUGCCUAAUACAUGCAAGUAGAACGCUGACUACUUUACCUUGCUAGAGUAGAAGGAGUUGCGAACGGGUGACUAGCGCGUACGGAACCUGCCUACUAACGGGGGAUAACUAUUGAAAACGAUAGCUAAUACCGCAUAACACUGUUUAACACAUGUUAGAUGCUUGAAAGAUGCAAUUGCAUCACUAGCAGAUGGACCUGCGUUGUAUUAGCUAGUUGGUGGGGUAACGGCCCACCAAGGCGACGAUACAUAACCGACCUAGAGAGGGUGAUCGGCCACGCUGGCACUGAAACACCGCCCAGACUCCUACGGGAGGCAACAUUACGGAAUCUUCGACAAUGGGGGCAACCCUGACCGAGCGACGCCGCGUGAGUGAAGAAGGUUUUCGGAUCGUAAAGCUCUGUUGUAAGAAAAGAACGUGUGUGAGAGUGGAAAGUUCACACAGUGACCGUAACUUACCAGAAAGGGACGGCUAACUACGUGCCACCAACCGCGGUAAUACGUAGGUCCCGAGCGUUGACCGGAUUUAUUGAGCGUAAAGCGAGCGCAUGCGGCUUUAAUAAUUCUGAAGUUAAAGGCAGUGGCUUAACCAUUGUUCGCUUUGGAAACUGUUAAACUUGAGUGCAGAAGGGGAGAGUGGAAUUCCAUGUGUAGCGGUGAAAUGCGUAGAUAUAUGUAGGAACACCGGUGGCGAACGCGGCUCUCUGGUCUGUAACUGACGCUGAGGCUCGAAAGCGUGGGGAGCAAACAGGAUUAGAUACCCUGGUAGUCCACGCCGUAAACGAUGAGUGCUAGGUGUUAGGGCCUUUACGGGGUUUAGUGCCGCAGUUAACGCAUUAAGCAUUCCGCUUGGGGAGUACGUCGGCAAGGUUGAAAUUCAAAGGAAUUGACGGGGGCCCGCACAAGCGGUGGAGCAUGUGGUUUAAUUGGAAGCAACGGGAAGACCCUUACCAGGUCUUGACGUUCCGAUGUUAUUUCUAGAGAUAGAAAGUUUUUUCGGAACAUCGGUGACAGGUGGUGCAUGGUUGUCGUCAGCUCGUGUCGUGAGAUGUUGGGUUAAGUCCCGCAACGAGCGCAACCCUUAUUGUUAGUUGCCAUCAUUUAGUUGGGCACUCUAGCGAGACUGCCGGUAAUAAACCGGAGGAAGGUGGGGAUGACGUCAAAUCAUCAUGCCCCUUAUGUCUUGGGCUACACACGUGCUACAAUGGUUGGUACAACGAGUUGCAAGUCGGUGAGGGCAAGCAAAUCUAUUAAAGCCAAUUUCAGUUGGGAUUGUAGGUUGCAAUUCGCUUACAUGAAGUGGGAAUCGUUAGUAAUCGCGGAUCAGCACGCCGCGGUGAAUACGUUCCCGGCCUUUGUCCACACCGCCCGUCACACCACGAGAGUUUGUAACACCAGAAGUCGGUGAGGUAACCAUUUAGGAGCCAGCCGCCUAAGGUGGGAUAGAUGAUUGGGGUGAAGU